rnacentral:tRNA from 1 species
AUCCUCAUAGCUUAAAAUCUUAAAGCACAGCUCUGAAAAGGCUGAGAUGACCUAAGGUCUGAAGAUA